CGUCUCACGUGAACCCGGAGGUGCUCUGUGGUUCCCCAAGGGGCGGAGCCUGCGCUGCUGGGGUCUGGGAUGGAGGGGCUUUGCACUGGACCACCUGAGCUAUCCAGGGUGUGGGGCUCCAUAGAGGCCCAGAUAGGGGCUCAGGGACCUCCAGCCAGGGCAGAAGAGCUCAGGGGUGGUUUCCUGGCUCUCUGCAGUGAGUAGGGUGUUAGAAGGCACCAAAACAAGGCCCCUCCCCCUUGGAUCUGCAGGACAUGGGCUGGUCGUAUGUCAGCUGUUGCUGCCACAGAAGUCAGGCUUCCAGGGGUGGAGUGAGCCCUGGGGUGACCUGGUGAUUCUGCAGCCACUGUGACAAGGCAUGGAGUGUCUUACGGGUCCCCUGCGGUCCAGUGUUAGAGCACCAAGUUACGUAACCCAUGUGACCCUGGGCUUCCCAACACGGCGCAGGCUUUCCCGUAGACCCUCCUUCACGCUGGAGCCCCUUUGACAGGAAGGGUGAGAUCAAAGGAAUCCUUCUCUCCAUGAGGAAUGCCGGCGCUUGCAGCAGCUGCUCUGCGAGGGCCCGCAUGUUUGCAGACCCGGACCUCAGGAAGGGAAUGCAGGUGACCACAGCAGCGCAUUCGGGAAGGUUCGGGGCCAGCUGGCGGCCACAUGAGGAGCCUGCCCUCCCAGGAGCAACGGUCCAUCUGCCUGUCAGAAAGAAGACCCAGACACAGUCCCGGAUGCAACCAUGACUCUCAGCACCAAGGCAUCCCCCCUUCAGCGUUCAGAAUGUGAGUCCAUGCUUUUCAGACACUGACAUCUGAGUCUGUCCAUCAGCAGCAAAGCAGCCUCCUUAAGUAGCUCCCACAGGACCCGGACACACACACACACACACACACACACACACACAUACACACACACACACACACGCGCGCAUCCAACCCCAUCAGCAGCAAAACAGCCUCCUUAAAUAGCUCCCGCAGGACCCAGACACACACACACACACACACACACACACACGUGUCCAACCCCGUGGCAGUGAUUUAGAAGCCAAACCCCAGGUACCUCUCAGUCAAAUAUUUCAGGAGUGCCGGCAACCAAGUAAUCACCCUAGAUUCAAAGUGAGGAGAGAAACUGCAGCUUCCAACCUCUUUAAAAUUGCCAGAGGAUGUCAAAGGCAUGGAGUGGGGUGGGCGGUCUCAGUUCUGUUACCAACGCUGUGAGUGACCCGUGUCCUUCAUGGGGAGCUGAGCCUGGGACUGCUGUGCAUGCAGGGUGGGAAAUCCAGACUGAUGGCCUGAGUCCUCCAGCAGCGCGUGGGGUGCAGAGCCCCAGGGGUCAAGGGCAGGGCUUCGGGAUUAUUGAUCUUCGAGGACAGAUCCAAGGCUGGGUCACCCUCUCAGGGGGUGGCUGUCCUGGGUUUACCUGCAGUGCCUGGGGGUCUGACAGCCCUAAAACAAGCCCCCUCUACCUCUUAGAUCUGGGCUCAGGGCACCUUUCAGUACUGGGGCUGUUGCUGCCAUGGGCAUCUGGGCUCCUGGGUUAAAAACGGAAUGGGCAGUUUUUCAAAUUUUGAUAAGUGCUGUCGGUUUGAUGACAUAUCACAAUGGCCACAGGUAAUGGAAUCCACAUAGGGGCUUCACUUCUCAUCAUUCCAGCACCCCCCACCGUGUGUGGAAAUGCACCUUCUCUUCUCCUGGGAGACGUUCCUCCCAUCCAACUGUCUGGUUCCAGGAAGAUACUGUGCUCAUACAUGACUCCGCCCCCAUAGCCACCACUGAUUGGUCUAUGGGUGGUCACCUCACCCCAGAUUGGCCUUUCUGGGACUUUUCAAACUGGAACUGACAUGAAGCCAAGAGGAGGAAGAGACCGCAUGUUUUCUGGCAUAUGGAGAAGGCUGAUCUACCAUGACAAAGAGUUAAGACAAUCUCAUUAGAAGGCAGAGGAGGUGGGGCUGGACCACCCAGGGCCGGCUGCUCUGACGCUCACCUGCACAUCUGACCUGCUCUUUGGCUGCACAACCUGAGUCCAAGAGCAGACCCACAGGGCUCCCUGCAGAGAGUUCAAAGCAGAGGCUAUUUACAGAGGUCCAAGUAGGGGUGGGGAACCUGCAUCCCACGAACUGGAUAAGCAGGGAAACUGUUAUCCACCACAAGCCCCAGGGCACAGGUGUGGGGCUUUGUUUCUGGAAUGCAGGGAGGGUUGUAACUCUGGGAGAGGGGUCACCUGGCAGGAUCUGAGAUCUUAUUUGGGGAAAAACUUCACUGCUAAACAUCAGUCAGGCAGGGGCAAUACCUGCUCCAACUUCUGUCUUCUCCCAUCUUAGGCUUCUCCUGGGGACUCUCAUCAGUCAAAUCCAACAGAAUCCAGAGGGCAGGGAGCCCCACUGGUGCCAUUUAUAGAGGUCAGCCUGUGGGCACAGUGAGGUCAGAGAAGGGCACGGAAUCGAUGCAGAGGGGCAGUCAAAGAGUAACUUGUGCAAAACAACCCUUCUUGGAUUCCUUGAGUCAGUAAAUGUUCCCAUUGGUCUUAGCAUUUCUGAGUUGCAUUUCUCUUAUUUGACUCCAAAACUCCUGUUCUGUAAGUAACUCCCCAAAGACAGUAAGUUUCUCAAACCAGUUACUAAAUCAAGUAUAGGGGCUGGUGAAGCUAAGUGAUGCUUGUUGCAUGGCUAGAUGAGAAGGCGAGAAAGCACUGUGGAGGCUCCAUCAAUGUUAGAUAGAUGCUGCCCUGGUUUCAUCAUCUGCUACCUACCCUUAGGCAGUUUCUUUGUUAAAGCAUCUUAUGAUCUUGCCCAAGAUUACCUGUGAUAGAGUAUGAAGGCCCUUGGUGGCACAACCCCUCUUUUCAUGGUCUUUUAUAAAACCAGCUGCCCAGCAGUGCCUGAGACUGAGCAGACAUUCAAUUCAUGUUGUUUGAAUGAAGGGACAGACGAGUUGAUGAUGGAUAGAUGAUGAAUGGAUGGAUGGAUGGACGGAUGGGUAAGUAAAUGGAUAGAAGAGGAAAUGGAUAAAUAAGUAAAUGAGUAGAUGGGUGGAUGGGUGAUGGAUGAAUGACAAAUUGAUGGAUGCAUGAAUGAGUAGAUAGAUGUGUGAAUGACAAAUGGAUGAGUAUGUGGGUGGGUGAAUGAAUAAAUAAAUGGGUAGAUUGGUGGAUAGGUGAAUGAAUGGAUGAUGAAUGUACAGACAUGUGGAUGGGUGAAUAAUUGGGUGGAUGAUUGAUAGAUGCUAGCGACUGUUUCCACACCAUCAGGAAGCCAUGUGCCCUCUAAGAUAAUUAGGGGCUGAGACUUCAGAAAGUCAGUGUCCCAACUCAUCUCUGUGAGCCUUCCAGCUCCACUCCCAUCCUCCAGCAACUUCCCCCUGGGAGGACCUUGACCACGAGAAGUCCUUAUUUCAUAAUCUCACCAAGAUGAGCAGCUGACCAUCCCUGGAGGGCUUCACGUUGAGUAAUUGCACUUAUAGUUCCAAAACAUCCUCUUGAACUGAGCUUUGCCAAGGGCUGUUUCUAACUGUAGUUCAUAUUUUGUUGCAUAAGUUUAACAAGUGCUGGUCUCUCCUAGUUUUAGUAUGGAAGUCUGUGGAUCUCAGAGCAGCUCAAUUGGCAAUUAAAAUCCAGGAAGUGGUGAGGUGUCUAGUGUGUGCUGAUGUGGAGAAUGAAUGGACCCAGGAGAAGUCAGGUGAAGGGUCCUUCACAGUGGACCUGAACCAAGGCGCCUAUUCAAGCUCAGACUCUCACUCACUAUGGGGGACUUUAAAGCAGGCAUUUAACAAUCACCUUUUCACCUUUUAAGAACAAACUAG
rnacentral:lncRNA from 1 species